UGGGGAAUUUUGGACAAUGGGGGCAACCCUGAUCCAGCCAUUCCGCGUGAGUGAAGAAGGCCUUCGGGUUGUAAAGCUCUUUCAGCAGGAACGAAACGGUCGGCUUUAAUAAAGUCGGCUAAUGACGGUACCUGCAGAAGAAGCACCGGCUAACUACGUGCCAGCAGCCGCGGUAAUACGUAGGGUGCGAGCGUUAAUCGGAAUUACUGGGCGUAAAGCGUGCGCAGGCGGCGACAUAAGACAGAUGUGAAAUCCCCGGGCUCAACCUGGGAACUGCGUUUGUGACUGUGUUGCUAGAGUGUAGCAGAGGGGGGUGGAAUUCCACGUGUAGCAGUGAAAUGCGUAGAGAUGUGGAGGAACACCGAUGGCGAAGGCAGCCCCCUGGGUUAACA
rnacentral:rRNA from 1 species